rnacentral:misc_RNA from 1 species
CUCCCCUGCAAUGCAAGUACGACAACGCACCGAGCCAGCAGACAGACACGAGCACCAGCAGCAGAGGGCAAGAGGAAGCCCAAACAACGUAGUACGGGCGAACAGCAAGUAUAGUACGCACGCAUGCAGCUUUCCAUGCCUCCCUCCCGCCUACGCCGCCGCACGGCGGCGGCGUUCGUCUUCGUCGCGCUCCUCGUCCUCCCGUCCAUGCUGCAAGCGGCCAGGACGACGCCGAGCGAUGGCCGCCACGGACGUGUACAGCAGCAGCAGGAGGAGGAGGAGGUGCGUGCCGCGGCGGCGACGACAACGACGAGUGGCGGCGGCGGCUGUGCCGGGUCCACACCUGCGCCAGCGUCGUCGUCGGUGCAAGAAAGGCCGCACCCGCUCACACUGCUGCCGCCGCCGCCGCCGCCGCUCACCACCACCACCACCGUUGAGGAGGAGGCAUCAUCGUCGUCGUCUCCCCGCAGCCGGAUGCUCGGCUCGGUGCCCAGCCCCGGCGUCGGCCACUAGUAGCGCGCUACUCUCCUGCUGCGCACCCGCACCUCCACGCCCCGCCCGCGCGCGCGGGGGGCCAUAUGUUCCAUCAACGCCGCCACCUCGCCCGGCCGAUCUUGUUCCACACAAACAUACUGUUUGUCGAUUUGCUGACGGCGCAUUCUGGUUGAUCCCGAUGUGGCGUGGAACGCUGCGAAAAAAACAAGUUCAAGCUUGUCGACGUUUCACGUGGGUUCCCCUUUUGACUUCCCAUCCAGCUGAAAACGAAACGAUAUAUAUAUACCCUGAUCCUUUUAGUUUUAGAGUUUCCGCCGAGCCGUUUCCAUGUGGCGCCGAAACAGCUAGGCCCCGGCCUGAUCUGUCUCUUUCCUUGCUUUUAUGCACGUACGGAGGGGCUGUUUCGUUGUUGUUCUGAAGGACUUUUAAUUUGG